UAUUGGACAAUGGGCGCAAGCCUGAUCCAGCAAUGCCGCGCGUGUGAAGAAGGCCUUCGGGUUGUAAAGCACUUUUGUACGGGAAGAAAAGUCCGGGGUGAAUAUCCUCGGAUCAUGACGGUACCGUAAGAAUAAGCACCGGCUAACUUCGUGCCAGCAGCCGCGGUAAUACGAAGGGUGCAAGCGUUAAUCGGAAUUACUGGGCGUAAAGCGUGCGUAGGCGGUUCGUUAAGUCUGUCGUGAAAGCCCUGGGCUCAACCUGGGAAUGGCGAUGGAUACUGGCGGGCUAGAGUCAGGUAGAGGGUGGUGGAAUUCCCGGUGUAGCGGUGAAAUGCGUAGAGAUCGGGAGGAACAUCUGUGGCGAAGGCGGCCACCUGGACCAUGACUGACGCUCAUGCACGAAAGCGUGGGGAGCAAAC
rnacentral:rRNA from 1 species